rnacentral:rRNA from 1 species
CCUACGGGUGGCUGCAGUGAGGAAUAUUGGUCAAUGGGCGUAAGCCUGAACCAGCCAAGUCGCGUGAGGGAAGAAGGCUCUAUGGAUCGUAAACCUCUUUUAUAAGGGAGUAAAGUGCGGGUCGUGUCCCGCUUUGUGUGUACCUUAAGAAUAAGCAUCGGCUAACUCCGUGCCAGCAGCCGCGGUAAUACGGAGGAUCCGAGCGUUAUCCGGAUUUAUUGGGUUUAAAUGGUGCGUAGGCGGCGUUUAACGCAGAGGUGAAAGUCUCGGGGUCAACCAUCGAUUUGCCGUUGAAACUGUGGGGCUUGAGUGUGUGAGGGGUAGGCGGAAUGAGUGGUGUAGCGGUGAAAUGCUUAGAUAUCACGCAGAACCCCGAUAGCGAAGGCAGCCUGCCGGGGCAUGACUGACGCUGAUGCACGAAAGCGUGGGGAUCAAACAGGAUUAGAUACCCCUGUAGUC